CACCCGGUGGCGCAACGGUAGCGCGUCUGACUCCCGAUCAGAAGGUUGUGUGUUCGGUUCACGUCCGGGUCA
rnacentral:tRNA from 1 species